rnacentral:misc_RNA from 1 species
GUCCUCUGAAAUGUAGACGAGCGAGAAGCCACGUGCGCGUGCGCGCGCUGCACGGCUGAGUACACGAACAAUGCGAUUCCUUCCAACCGCACGAACAUUUAGGUAUGCACAAUGCACAUGUAACUAACGUAAGCCCACCGGAGGUACGUACUAUCAAACGAUUAUCACGAUUCCGAAUUCUACGCGAGCGACGAUUGUUGUUUACGUCCGCCAUGACGGGGACGAGAAAAUGGACGCCGAUGGGACGUUCUUUUGUUUUCCUAACCUCUCCGGAGAUUCUGCGCCAUGGUCUUUUCGAAGAGAGAAAAAAGGAAAUGCAACUGGAAAUCAUUCGAUUUUCGGAAACCACCCGUCAACAUUUCAAGUGGGAAAUCAGAAGUACACGACAAUAUCGGCGUCAUAAUUAGGUGUCGUCUGGUUGUAGUUAACG